GCAUAUUUAUUGGCAUAAUUGAUAAAUUUCCCGUGGUAUUGUCUCUGGUCACGAACGUAUUUCACCAGAGAUAAAUAGGCACUGUUGAAAGAAGAAGUCAUUUAAAACUUUUAAUACACCUACAUUUACAAUGUCCAAUCGAACACAGUCCAAUUUAAAGAUGAUUAUCACAGUUCCCAUGUGUACCUACAACAUUGGUUCAGCUCACUAUAACCGUCGUGUUUAUCAUAGAUAAUUGUGUUUGUGUAGACACCACCAGAUCAAGGAUAGAGUGGUCUUUGUGAGGAGAAUACCGGUCAUAAUAAUGUCAAGAGGAACUAGUUGAUGCAAGAGAGUGAUCGUAGUUUACCAGUUUUCUUCCGAUAAGAUAUCUACAAACAAAAUAACGAUUUUCUUGUUAACAUUUCUGGCAAAAUCACAAAAAUAUGUAAUAAGGAAAAAAGGGGGUGAAGGGGCAAUGAUGUUGUACGAUAUUGUGCAAGGAGAAAGAAAUUUUCGUAAUGACUUCCUUAGUUGGAGCAUCUCUAAAGAUUUCAAGCCUGUUAUAUUAUUCUCUGCUCGAAAUUUCUGAAAAUGUGAUUACGUAUAGGAAAACAUUUUCCGAAGAAUAUUGCUUUGAGGAAGCGAUCGAACGUCAUCAACAUGAACACUUAUCAUCGCCUUCACGAUAGGAAAUUGUUUGUCGAUUGCCAGUGGAGAAAGUGCUUUAAUCAAGAACACCUCGUCUGCUUUAUUGUGUGACGUAUUUUAUAAGAGCAUAUUAGAGUCUGAGUGAUUUUGGAUUAGUGAUAUGACAUAAAACAUAAAGAAGAAAAUGCUGGCAUUAAAGGCUACCGGUAAACCGAAGUUGUUUUGCUUAAAGUGACAACUAUCUAAACUAUAAAAUUCACAAGCGUUGUCAUAAACUGCUGCUGUGAAACGAUUAUGAAAACAAUAAAAAAUCGUAAAAACUGCAAAUACAACAUUACUUUUAUCUUACUUCAGACAACGAAAGUUGAUCAAAUGUGUUUGUCGUAGUUAAAUUAAAAGGAUCAUACUCCACCUAUUCUGCUACACAUAAACAUGUUUCUCUAUGGCAAAGUGCAUAUUUUACUACCACCACGACAAGAAUGGAUUGUUGGUGAAACUUUGAAGUAUUGGUCUGAUGUGAUAACAGAAGACAAACUUAUGGAUUUUGAAAGAAGUGUGAAAGCCGAAAGAGAUCAAUGAAUUCAAAACUCUUUGUAGUCUAAAAAAAGAUGUCUAGAAAUGCUAUUUUUACAUCGUUUCCUUGGAAACAUUACGCAAGAGACGAUUGACGACGUCAGGAAAGCUUCAAACCGUGAAAUCUCUAGUUCUUUACUCAUUGCAAUUAAUUAUAAAACCUGUGAAAGUUGAAAUUAUUGGUACACGCAAGCGAAAAUGAAUGAAGUUGGUUUAAAAUUGCUUCAUCAAUAUUGGGCACUCUCCAAAACACCAUUGUUAACAAUAUUGAUAUUAUGAAUGUUUUAUAAGUUGAUAUUCAAUUGAUAUUCAUUUAAUAUUGAUAUUGUUGGUCAAACUUGGUGCAGAAGUAGUGGAACACGGUUUAAUUUCAUGUUUCUAGGGUGCAACACAUUAUUGUUCCAAAUUGAUUAGAUGAAAACCAAGAGGAAAAGCCAACCGGAUUGGACAUUAUUUUUUAUAAGUGUGAAUGUACGAAUGAACCUCUAAUUUCCCAUAAGAUUAUAUAUAAAUGUAGUUAUCACAAAAACUUUACCAAAUUCAAUUAUGACAGCAAGCUCAAAAUGAUCCAACAAAGUUAUUCUCAUGAAAGACGCAAUGAUUUCAAAAAUAUAAACACCUCGUUAGUUUUACAUAUAGAGACGAUGAACAGUACCGGUGAACUGUUAAACUGUCAAUGAGAAAGGAUUUAUAAACAGAUUGUAUCGUGAUAAUACAAAGACACUCGCAUGGGAAGCUCGGAAAACCGCCCAUUUUUUUUUAAUUGACCAAAUUAGUCUAUUAAAAUAAAAUCAUAUUAUACUUCAGGCUAUAUGAAGAAAAAUUCUUGUAAUUCCUUCAUUUAGAAUGGUCCAACAUUAAUUAACAGCGUGUUAUAAAGUAAAUCAUGAUUUCAAAGUCCAA